rnacentral:rRNA from 1 species
CACGGGGGGAGCAAGCGUUGUUCGGAAUCACUGGGCGUAAAGGGCGUGUAGGCGGUCAGGUAAGUGAGACGUGAAAUGCCCCGGCUUACCCGGAGACCUGCGUCUCAUACUGCUUGGCUUGAGUACGGGAGAGGGUGUGGGAAUUCCUGGUGUAGCGGUGAAAUGCGUAGAUAUCAGGAGGAACACCGGUGGCGAAGGCGCACACCUGGCCCGAUACUGACGCUGAGGCGCGAAAGCUAGGGGAGCAAACGGG